CGGCGCGUCACGCGGGGGGGAGGCUGCUUCUUUCCCACAGAGACGUUCAGGCUGGAAAAGCAGGAUCGGCAAAGCCAGCCGUCCUGUCUCUGAUGAGCUGGAUGUUACCUACCAGCAGAACUGAUCAAGGAGUGCUUCCCUGCAUCUCCAGAUCUUCUGGGCCACGUGAGGGAAGAGGAAAAACAGCCAGGAUUCAUUAAGAGCAGACAGAUUUCAUUGCAGAAGGUCGGAGCAGAGGAAAAUGAGCAAAAGCCUCUUCAUGAAGCGGGACAAUGGAAACAAACAUAUUACUGCAGCAGUGCAGAAGUCCUUACAGCCCUAUUCUCAACUGUGGCCAUGAAGCACACAGUGAAGCAGCAGAAGACAAUCAAAAGACAUAUGAGUGCACAAAGUUAAUGAAGUCGAACUGGAUGUUCUAAGUCCUACGCAGGGAAAUGAGUCACAUUGUCAAAGCCUUCAUAAUGAAAAUUCUAUUUCCCAAGGGUGGAUGGAUUGUCCUGGUGCACAACAGGAAACCUUUCCAAAAUCUCACAGUUCUUCAGAUAACAGGAAACAUCUUCCCACCCACUUCUUGUCACAACGGAGGUAUUUCAUGUGGCACUUUAAAAACAUUGACAGAUUUCUUCCCCCAGUCGAAGGAAAGCAGUGUGAGUUUCUGUAACUCAAAGAAAAUUGAUAUUCUGGCAGGUGACAUUAGUGUCCAUGUGUGUGUAUCUUUCAGAAUGCAGUUGUCAUCGGAUGCAAUGCACUACACAUCGUCUCCCUAAGAGAUGUAGAGAGUGUAGGCUGGGAUUAUUUUUAGGGCUUUUCUUUUUUUCAAAGAAAAAUUGAUCCUAGUGAUAAGUUUGACAUGUUACUAUUUGAGAUUUAAUUGCAACAAUUACUGAAGCGCAGAAGGCUUUAAAUGAGAAGCCUAGUUAUCUGAGUCCAGCAUGCUUGCUGUGUGCAUAAAUGGAUAAACAUCACUGUACAGCUCUUCUGGCCUGAAUUUAGAAAACACUUGAUUGUGGUGAUAAAUCAGAAAGGUCCCCUUGGUUAUGUAAGAGCAAGAGGGAAGCAUCUCACUGAAUAAUCCUGACGGAUUAUAUGGUCCCAGUGAAAGUCCAGUAUUAGCCAGCAGCCAAUAGCUUCACAUCUGGAGUCAGGAGCUGAAAGUCAGACAGUGGGUGGCACUCAUUAAAAAAUAGAUCUGCUGAACAGUUAAGACGAUUAUUGGUCCUGAUUUGCAGGAUUAGACACAGGGAGCAGUCUGUCAGGCUGUUUCUUCACUUGGCUGCACAAAAGGCUUCUCUAGGGCUCGGGCAGCAAACGAUUCUCUGAGCAGAUUGCUCCCUAAGGAGGCAAGGGGAGAUGCCUUCCCUCUGCUCAUCUGCCUUUGUGCUGCCUUGUGCUGUUUGAAGCCAGCACUGAGCACAUAAUCACUCCUGCAGAGAUUUAUGGGGCUUAAACACUGUAGUUGUAACUUAUUAACGUGAUCUCCCUGCCUGAUGCUGUGAAAUCUUCGCAGCUGGGAUUUCUAAUGGGUUUAUUGGAACUGCAGGUGUGGCAGGAGAUUUGCAGGUUUGAUUCUUUGGCAGCGAGGCUAACCAAGUGAGAGAACAGUCUGUGCACGUGGCAGGGAUGGAGAGUAGUCAGCAGGAGAACCCAAAGUAAUGGCUAAAAUGCCACAGUCUGGGUGGGGAUCUCUUGUUUUACGUGCUCCUGUUCCUUCUUUACACACAUUUGCAGAAGUGCUGGAUUUUACAAGAAGAUGCUUGGCGAAUAUUGUUAGGGGAAGAAUCUGUUUCCACUCAGGAACAGAAAAUUACACAAAUGAUGCAUGUUACGUGUCUAAAUAUACAGGUUGAAUAACUGCAGGUGUUUGUUUCUUGACAGUCUAUCUUCCUUCAUUUGCUGGGACAACGAUAGAACAAAUGAUUUACCAUAAUAAACACAUUCAGAAAAACUGCAGGGUACGCUCUCUACACCAUUCAUCAAAGAAGUUGUUUUGAGUCAUUUGUCCCGAUCUUCCUCAUCUCAAGUAGGCAGAAGGAAAUACUCACCUAACUCCUUCUGUAUGUGUUAACUGAAAGCAAAGAAAUUAGUAUCAGGUGAGCCAUUGGCCUCACCUGAAGCCUUUAUAGGCAGCAGCCCUUCCUAAGCCUAAUGGCUGCAUUUGGAGACCAUCUCACUCCGUGCUUCCCCUGUAAAUAAGAAGAUACAAUGGAUCUGUGGGAAUUAAGUUCUUAGGAGGCAGUGAUGUCAUCUUUGCAGAUUCAGGACACUAUUCACUUGCUUUCUGGAAACAUUUUAUAGUUAUGUAAUAUUCCUCAAUCCACAUUCUGGAUCAGCUUUGUUCCAUCAGGCUUUUCCCAUUACUCUAAUAACUUCUGUCUGCAGCUUCACAAGUUUAUUUGAAAUAUGCACAUGGAAUUAAAAAA